rnacentral:misc_RNA from 1 species
UCCGGUUUAUCACCGGCAGUAUCGUUAAAGUUCUCAACUAAAUGCUAGCAACUAACGAUAAGGGUUGCGUUCGUUGCGGGACUUAACCCAACAUCUCACGACACGAACUGACGACAGCCAUGCAGCACCUGUGUGUGGUCCGGCCGAACCGACUUGUCCCAUUACGGACAAUACGACCACCAUGUCAAGAGCUGGUAAGGUUCUUCGCGUAGUUUCGAAUUAAACCACAUACUCCACCGCUUGUGCGGGUCCCCGUCAAUUCCUUUGAGUUUUAAUCUUGCGAUCGUACUCCCCAGGCGGGAUGCUUAUUGCGUAAGCGCCGACACUGAUCAGCAACCUGACCAACAUCUAGCAUCCAUCGUUUACAGCGUGGACUAC